rnacentral:misc_RNA from 1 species
GACUCAAUGACAAGGUACACUCGAGUCCUGACUCAAUCUGUAUACAAUGGAGCGGUUUCCUACUCUCCCUUUUUUAUAAUGUAUAAAUACUAUAAAAUUAAUUUGUGAUUGUGUAUUUACUUUAAUAAUAUUAUAGAUAUUUCCAAGCCAAAGACGUUGGUAUAACUAUGAUGAGUUAACUAGACAUGAGGAAUGUGGAGACCCUGAUAAUACAUCUCACCGGGGCCAUCCGGAAUGUCAGUUUUGUAAAGUUCGUUACUUAGACAAAGACGAGCUCUAUAAACAUCUAAGGAAAGAGCAUUUCUUUUGUCAUUUUUGCGAUGCUGAUGGUAUUCAAGACUACUACAUGACAUAUGAAUGGUUGAGAAAGCAUUAUUUUGACAAGCACUACCUUUGCGAAGAGGGAAAUUGUGUCAAUGAACAAUAUACAUCAGUUUUUCGUACGUCAAUAGAUUUACAAGCUCAUAAAGCGCAAACACACAGCAGAGAUUUGGGAAAACAAGGAUAUAAAGAAGCGCGUACCUUAAAACUUGAGUUUACCUUACGACCGCGACACAAUCCGACCGUUGAAGCGGGCAGACCAAACCAAUACCAACCACCCCGACCCCGCCAACCACCAUCUGAUUAUUCUUACAACAAUAGCUACAACAACAUCAACAACUAUUCCGGCGGGCCCGAGUCAUCCGCGUCGACCUCAUCGGAUCGCGCGAUCAACGUGCGUAACACCGCAGAUUUCCCGUCGUUGAAUGGUCAGCACACGACGGUGUUGCCAUGUGCCCGCACCAGGAAGCAAAACCAAUCGGUCAACACGCGAGAUUUACAUUCGUUUCCGGCCUUGGGACAGGACCCGCAGCCGUCGGUGGCGCCCAAGCCUCAGAAACCACCGGUGAACAGCAUCCGAAUGGCCGCGGUGCUAAAGAAACCAGCGGAACCCCCUAAACCAGAUCGAAACAAAGACGCCAAGGUACCUUCAGGUCCACGGUUGCCCAACCAGGCCAGGGACUUUCCGUCGCUAGACGGCAACCAAAACCAAAACCACCAGCCACAGCAGCAGCAACAAAACCAGCAACACCCCAGGUUGGCUGCCAACAAGGAGAUGGCGGUGGCCAGCGGUUCGGGCGGUGGCAGUUGGGUGUCUAAAGCCAAGACGGGAAACGAGGGUGAGAAAAAAAAGGUUAAAAAAGAACCAGCGGCCAUCAAGAAGAAAAUAGCAGAGGCGCCCAAGGUCCCUGGCCCGUCGGACUUUCCAAAUUUGAACAAAAAAUAUGAACCGUCCAAGAGCAACCUGGCAAAGUUGGGCGGCAACAAGAAGAAAUCGGAAAACUCAAAGAAAACCGCGCCAGCAGAAACCAACGUCAACGGCAAUGGCGGCAGUGGUACUGUUCAAAACGGGAAAAAGAACCUUCCAACCGUGGACAGCAACAGCAGUAAUAAGGAAAACUGCAACAAGCCCAACACGAAAACCGUCGACGCGGUGCAGGUGUGCAACGGGGAAAUCAAGACGGCUACUUCGACGAAUAAUAAGGCGGUCGCCGGCAAGACUGAAGUGAUAAAGCCCGCCGCCUCAGCCCCGGUAGAGGUGCCGAAGAGAGAGCAGUCCAAGAAGAAAGAGUCUGCUGCGGUCGGUCGAACGGCGACUCAACCCGACGAAGAAUCCGUGACGGACGCCAACAACCCAAAGGACAAGAAGAAGAGGAAAAAGAAUGAAAAUCGAGGAGAACAACAACAACAACAACAACAACCUACCUCAACCAGGCACCAACAGCAGGAAAAUCAUCACCAGCAACAGCUGCAGAACAAUUAUAUCAAAACGGCGACGCCAAAAAUACCGCCGGGCUUCGAGAACGCGUACCAGCAGCCGCCACAACAACAGGUCAGAGCCCCUCCCGGGCUGUCUGGUAACCGUGGACCGUCGCCCGCAGCGCAGAACCAUCACCGGGUCAAAGCGCCGCCCGGUCUGUCGUUGGCGGACAGCGGAGGCGACGGCGGUAAACCGUUCGAGUACUUGCAUCCGGUCGACUCGUCCGUCCGGAACAAAGUGCUCAUCAAUAACCUGAUGGCCGCGCUCAUACCUGCCCACGACGAACGUUUUGACACUUUCGAGAAGUUUAAAGAGAUGUCAACGCUGUUCCGCAAACAUGUCAUCACCGCGUUCGAUUUCUACUCGUAUUGCGUUGAAGCACUGGCCCCGCACAGCUUUGAUUCCGUAUUCCAGGAACUCGUGUUGUUGUUGCCUGACAUCCAAAAGCAGCGGGAAUUGCUGUUCAUCUACAACCGGAACAGCAGACACGAAAUGAACGUAGAAGUGUGCAAACACUGUCGCCAAGUGUUGAGGCCUAGUGACUUGGAAUCGCACCAGUCCGUUCACAGUUCGACUGUGCGCAGUUGAAAUGCAACGGAUACGCCUGUGUUUGUAUAGCACAUAUUGCGUCCAUGCCGCCGAACAUGCCUCCCAAGUGUCGUGGUGUUUUGCUCGAUAGCUCCGGUCGUAUGUGUAUAUUAUAUAUCUAUAGAAGUCAAUCGUUUUUAAUACGUACUACAUAUUAUUAUAUAAGUAUAUAUUAUUAUAUUAUUCUAUAUAACCGAUUACUUAUCUGUGGGUACAGAUAUUAUCAUAUUAUUUUUAAUAAUAGAGUAAGAAACACAUUGCAUAUUAAUAUAUUAUGUAUAUUUUCGGUCGA